rnacentral:rRNA from 1 species
GUAAAUUAUCACGCAUGCAGAUCCAAUAUUUCGGCCACCGAAUACAUUAGCAUGGGAUAAUGGAAUAGGACCCUGUCCUCCUAUUUUCAGUUGGUUUUGGCAGCGCGAGGACUAGGGUAAUGAUUAAUAGGGAUAGUUGGGGGCAUUAAUAUUUAAUUGUCAGAGGUGAAAUUCUUGGAUUUAUGAAAGAUUAACUUCUGCGAAAGCAUCUGCCAAGGAUGUUUUCAUUAAUCAAGAACGAAAGUUAGGGGAUCGAAGACGAUCAGAUACCGUCGUAGUCUUAACCAUAAACGAUGCCGACCAGCGAUUAGGAGACGUUGAAUACAAAACACCACCAUCGGUGCGGUCGUCCUUGGCGUCGGUCUUUCGGGGCCGGCGCGGGGACGGCUUAGCCCGGUGGCACCGGUGAAUGACUCCCCUAGCAGCUUGUGAGAA